UUAAGUGAAGGUAAGUAUUUUUUUCAUAGUUGUAUUAGAAUGUGAAUUUACCUUUUACACAAAAGUAUAAUAGAAUGUAUCAUCUCAACUUUUUAUUUUACAGAAAAUGGAAUGGUGAAAUUAGAUGACUUUGUGAGUGCUGUCUCUAAAGAGCAAAAUCUUCCUGAAUAUGAUGAAGGUGACAAAGUACAAAUUGAAGAAUUUGCGAAAGUAGUAAAGGAAAUACAUGAUACCUCCAAGUUAGAAGAAUCACAGGAGACUAUCUUAGCUGUUGAUUUGCCUGAAGAUGACAUGAUACCUGGGAAGAACUUGGAAGGUUUUCUAGGAGACAUUGGAAUUAAGUCACCUAAAGAAGAGGUAGAGAAAAUUCUUCAGUCAGAUUUUGUUUCUGGUAAGCAUUUAAAUACUUCUGUCAGGUAGUCCAUCCUAAAGGAGAUCAGUCCUGGGUGUUCAUUGGAAGGACUGAUGCUGAAGCUAAAACUCCAAAACUCCACCUCAUGUGAAGAGUUGACUCAUUGGAAAAGACCCUGAUGCUGGGAGGGAUUGGGGGCAGGAGGAGAAGGGGACGACAGAGGAUGAGAUGGCUGGAUGGCAUCACCGACUCAAUGGACAUGAGUUUGGGUAAACUCCAGGAGUUGGUGAUGGACAGGGAGGCCUGGCGUGCUGCAGUCCAUGGGGUCGCAAAGAGUCAGACUGAACUGAACUGAACUGAUCAGGUUGGUUGUUUGUCUCAUUUUGUUUUCGGUAGGACUAGUCUUUAUAAGUAUUCUUUAUAAAGAGAGUACAAGGUCUUUGUUCAAGUAAAUUCAAUUCCUUUGUUGAGCAAAUAGCUGUAGGCAUUUGCUUGUUAUUUUAAACAUUGUCUUUGAAAAGGAGUCUUGCCUUGUUUGCAGUUAUGAGAAUAAGCAGGUUGAAAUUUUGUGGAGAGUGGGCCUGUUGUAAUCCUCUCUCCUCAGAUCUAUCUUAAAUUAGUGACGGAAGAGUAGUUUGAAUUCAGAACUUGUGAGUAGAAAUCCUAGCUUUGUUGCUUUGGGCAGAGUGAAGUUACUGGACUUUAAAAGUUUCUUGGUAUUUUUAGUUUUUUUUUGCACAGAGCUCAGGUAUCUACAAUCUUAUCAC
rnacentral:lncRNA from 1 species